GCCGAAGUGGCGGAACUGGCAGACGCACCAGACUCAAAAUCUGGCGUGGUUACCCACGUGCGAGUUCGAGUCUCGCCUUCGGCA
rnacentral:tRNA from 1 species